GAGGUAAUAGCUCAGUGGUAGAGCUCAUACUUAGCAUGCACGAGGUCCUGGGUUCAAUCCCCAGUAUCUCU
rnacentral:tRNA from 1 species